UGGGGAAUAUUGGACAAUGGGCGCAAGCCUGAUCCAGCAAUGCCGCGUGGGUGAAGAAGGCCUUCGGGUUGUAAAGCCCUUUUGUACGGGAAGAAAGCUUUCGGGUUAAUACCCUGGGAGGAUGACGGUACCGUAAGAAUAAGCACCGGCUAACUUCGUGCCAGCAGCCGCGGUAAUACGAAGGGUGCAAGCGUUAAUCGGAAUUACUGGGCGUAAAGCGUGCGUAGGUGGUUGUUCAAGUCUGUCGUGAAAGCCCUGGGCUCAACCUGGGAAUUGCGAUGGAAACUGGAUGGCUAGAGUGUGGUAGAGGAUGGCGGAAUUCCCGGUGUAGCGGUGAAAUGCGUAGAGAUCGGGAGGAACAUCCGUGGCGAAGGCGGCCAUCUGGACCAACACUGACACU
rnacentral:rRNA from 1 species